CGAGUGGCGAACGGGUGAGUAACACGUGGGUGAUCUGCCCUGCACUCUGGGAUAAGCCUGGGAAACUGGGUCUAAUACCGGAUAGGACCAUGCUUUAGUGUGUGUGGUGGAAAGUUUUUUCGGUGUGGGAUGAGCCCGCGGCCUAUCAGCUUGUUGGUGGGGUGAUGGCCUACCAAGGCGACGACGGGUAGCCGGCCUGAGAGGGUGUACGGCCACAUUGGGACUGAGAUACGGCCCAG
rnacentral:rRNA from 1 species